rnacentral:rRNA from 1 species
UACGUAGGGUCCAAGCGUUGUCCGGAUUUACUGGGCGUAAAGAGCGCGUAGGCGGCUCGUUAAGUGUGAAGUGAAAUCUCCAGGGCUCAACCCGGAAACUGCUUUACAUACUGGCGAGCUGGAGUGAUGAAGAGGUUUGUGGAAUUCCUGGUGUAGCGGUGAAAUGCGUUGAUAUCAGGAGGAACACCCAUGGCGAAGGCAGCAAACUGGUCAUCAACUGACGCUGAGGCGCGAAAGCGUGGGUAGCAAACAGG